GGCUCAGAUUAAACGCUGGCGGCAUGCCUUACACAUGCAAGUCGAACGGCAGGCACGGGGUGGUAACAAUCUGGUGGCGAGUGGCGGACGGGUGAGUAAGGCAUCGGAACGUGCCCUGGAAUGGGGGAUAACGUAGCGAAAGUUACGCUAAUACCGCAUAUUCUGUGAGCAGGAAAGCAGGGGAUCGCAAGACCUUGCGUUCGAGGAGCGGCCGAUGUCGGAUUAGCUAGUUGGUGGGGUAAAGGCCUACCAAGGCGACGAUCCGUAGCGGGUCUGAGAGGAUGAUCCGCCACACUGGGACUGAGACACGGCCCCAGACUCCUACGGGAGGCAGCAGUGGGGAAUUUUGGACAAUGGGCGCAAGCCUGAUCCAGCCAUGCCGCGUGAGUGAAGAAGGCCUUCGGGUUGUAAAGCUCUUUCGGUGGGGAAGAAAUUGCUUCGGAUAAUACCUGGAGUAGAUGACGGUACCCGCAUAAGAAGCACCGGCUAACUACGUG
rnacentral:rRNA from 1 species